rnacentral:snoRNA from 1 species
AUCCUUUUCCGGUUCUUAAGCAUGAUGAUUGGGUGUUCACAUGAUUGUGUGAGAUGUGCCUCCCUUAAGACGUGUUAUGCAUUAUGCACUUGGCACAUUACCCAUCUGAUG